rnacentral:rRNA from 1 species
UACGAAGGGGGGCUAGCGUUGCUCGGAAUUACUGGGCGUAAAGCGUGCGCAGGCGGUUAUGUAAGACAGUUGUGAAAUCCCCGGGCUCAACCUGGGAACUGCAUCUGUGACUGCAUAGCUAGAGUACGGUAGAGGGGGAUGGAAUUCCGCGUGUAGCAGUGAAAUGCGUAGAUAUGCGGAGGAACACCGAUGGCGAAGGCAAUCCCCUGGACCUGUACUGACGCUCAUGCACGAAAGCGUGGGGAGCAAACAGG